rnacentral:rRNA from 1 species
UGUCGUCAGCUCGUGUUGUGAAAUGUUGGGUUAAGUCCCGCAACGAGCGCAACCCUUAUCCUUUGUUGCCAGCGGUCCGGCCGGGAACUCAAAGGAGACUGCCAGUGAUAAACUGGAGGAAGGUGGGGAUGACGUCAAGUCAUCAUGGCCCUUACGACCAGGGCUACACACGUGCUACAAUGGCGCAUACAAAGAGAAGCGACCUCGCGAGAGCAAGCGGACCUCAUAAAGUGCGUCGUAGUCCGGAUUGGAGUCUGCAACUCGACUCCAUGAAGUCGGAAUCGCUAGUAAUCGUGGAUCAGAAUGCCACGGUGAAUACGUUCCCGGGCCUUGUACACACCGCCCGUCACACCAUGGGAGUGAGUUGCAAAAGAAGUAGGUAGCUUAACCUUCGGGAGGGCGCU